rnacentral:piRNA from 1 species
AGCCAGGCGUGGUGGCGCA